UUGAUCCUGGCUCACAAUGAACGCUGGACGGCGUGCUUAACACAUGCAAGUCGCACGAGAACACCUCAGCUUGCUGAGGUAAGUAAAGUGGCGCACAGGUGAGUAACGCGUGGGUAAUCUGUCCCUGGGUUCGGGAUAACUCCGCGAAAGCGGGGUUAAUACCUGGAUGACAUCAUUGAGGCUUUGGUUUCAAUGAUUAAAGGUGGCCUCUCCAUGGAAGCUAUUGCUUUGGGGGUGAGCCCGCGUACCAUUAGCUGGUUGGUAGGGUAAUGGCCCUACCAAGGCGACGAUGGUUAGCUGGUCUGAGAGGAUGAUCAGCCACACUGGAACUGACACACGGUCCAGACUCCUACGGGAGGCAGCAGUGAGGAAUUUUGCGCAAUGGGGGGAACCCUGACGCAGCAACUGCCGGCGUGAGGUGAUGAAGGCCUUCGGGUCGUAAAGCUCUGUCAAGUGGGAAGAAUCCAUCCUGGCCCAACACGUUGGGGUGUAGACGGUACCACUUGAAGGAAGCCACCGGCUAACUUCCGUGCCAGCAGGCGCGGGUAAUACGGAGGGUGCAAGCGGUAAUACGGAAUUAUUGGGCGUAAAGGGCGCGUAGGCGGCCCAGGCAAGUCAGAUGUGAAAUCCCGGGGCUUAAGCCCGGAAGUGC
rnacentral:rRNA from 1 species